rnacentral:rRNA from 1 species
AUACGGAGGGUGCAAGCGUUGUUCGGAAUCACUGGGCGUAAAGCGCGCGUAGGCGGUUUGGUCAGUCGGAUGUGAAAGCCCUAGGCUCAACCUGGGAAUGGCAUUCGAUACUGCCUGACUAGAGUAUGGUAGAGGGAAGUGGAAUUUCCGGUGUAGCGGUGAAAUGCGUAGAUAUCGGAAGGAACACCAGUGGCGAAGGCGACUUCCUGGGCCAAUACUGACGCUGAGGUGCGAAAGCGUGGGGAGCAAACAGGAUUAGAAACCCCGGUAGUCC